rnacentral:rRNA from 1 species
GACGAACGCUGGCGGCGUGCUUAACACAUGCAAGUCGAACGAUGAAACCUAACUUGCUAGGUCGAUUAGUGGCGAACGGGUGAGUAACACGUGACUAACCUGCCCCUUUCUCUGGGAUAACGCUCCGAAAGGAGUGCUAAUACCGGAUACUCACACCGAGGCACAUGCCUUGGUGUGGAAAGUUUUUCGGAAAGGGAUGGAGUCGUGGCCUAUCAGCUUGUUGGUGAGGUAACGGCUCACCAAGGCGACGACGGGUAGCCGGCCUGAGAGGGGGGCCGGCCACACUGGGACUGGGACACGGCCCAGACUACUACGGGAGGCAGCAGUGGGGAAUAUUGCACAAUGGGCGCAAACCUGAUGCAGCGACGCCGCGUGAGGGAUGAAGGUCUUCGGAUUGUAAACCUCUUUCAGUAGGGACGAAGCGAAAGUGACGGUACCUAAAGAAGAAGCACCGGCUAACUACGUGCCAGCAGCCGCAGUAA